UCGCCUGUUUUCCAAAAACAUCGCCUCUUGAUUAAACAUAAGAGGUCCAGCCUGCCCAGUGACAUAGUUUAACGGCCGCGGUACCCUAACCGUGCGAAGGUAGCAUAAUCACUUGUUCUUUAAAUAGGGACUCGUAUCAACGGCAUCACGAGGGCUAUACUGUCUCCUUUCUCCAAUCAAUGAAACUGAUCUCCCCGUGAAGAAGCGGGGAUUAACCUAUAAGACGAGAAGACCCCAUGGAGCUUCAAACUCAACAUACACCUCUACGCACUUAAACCACUUUAGCCCAAGAGACCUCUAUGUUAGUUUUGGGUUGGGGGGACCGCGGAGUAAAAAUUAACCUCCACGACAAACGGGCUUUAUGCCCUUAUCCACGAACCACAGCUCUAAGAAUCAAUAAACUGAUGUUUAUGACCCGAUUAUUCGAUCAACGAACCAAGUUACCCUGGGGAUAACAGCGCAAUCUACUUCAAGAGCCCCUAUCGACAAGUAGGUUUACGACCUCGAUGUUGGAUCAGGGUAUCCUAGUGGUGCAGCCGCUACUAAUGGUUCGUUUGUUCAACGAUUAAAACCCUACGUGAUCUGAGUUCA
rnacentral:rRNA from 1 species